GUCUAUCUGAUGGUAUCGUUCUGAUGUGUCUACAUCUGAUGGUACCGUUCUGAUGUGUCUUUGUCUGAUGGUACCGUUCUGAUGUGUCUACAUCUGAUGGCACCAUUCUGAUGUGUCUUUAUCUGAUGGUAUCGUUCUGAUGUGUCUUUGUCUGAUGGCACCGUUCUGAUGUGUCUUUGUCUGAUGGCACCGUUCUGACAUUUGUCUGUCAACUAGACAACACAUAAGUUCACUACAUAUCAUUACUCAGUGGUAAGAAUUGGAAAAUUGAACAAAUUGUCUCUUGUGUUAAUAUGGAGUGCUGUAAGAUGUGUUUGUAUGUUUAUAUCAUGUUUUAAAUGUGUUGUGAUAAUUUAUUGUUUCGCUUUUGUACACAAUCAGCUGUAUUAUUCUUGUUUGUUAUGUUAAUUAUGGAGUUAAUAGAAUUUAAUGAAUUAAUAAAAUUUAAUUUGAAAUGAUUUGAGACGAUCCUGAACAUAAAUAUCUACUGUUAAUAUCUUUAGAAUGUUGAUAUAAACAUGUCAGACUGCUGGAAUAACCUGGAAUCAUUGUUGCUCAUGUUUCUCCUAUAUGGUAAUGGAAAUUAUGGUUUUUUUUCUGUGAAUAGUUUGGUUUUUAAAAAGAUUAGUCAAUUAAAAAAAAAAGAUAUCUUUUAAUAUUUGUGUAGACAUGGAUUUGUAGGAACACCUAAAAUGUGUUGUUUGGAAUAGAAUUGAUUGUCCUUUGUCAAUUUUAUAAUUACAAAUGUAUAUUUGUUAUGUUACAAACAAAACUUUUACAAUAUUCCCCCACUGCCUGUUAGGUCAGUCAGUUUUGGUGGUGGAAUGGAGGACAUUAUUUUGACAAACAGUAGAAAACACAUUUCAGACUGUAAAUUUGUUUUAAGUAAACUUUUGUUUUUAUGUUGGCAGUUAGUGACAGGCGGAGUCUGUUGUCAGUUAGUGACAGGCAGAGUCUGUUGUCAGUUAGUGACAGGCAGAGUCUGUUGUCAGUUAGUGACAGGCGGAGUCUGUUGCCACUGUACUUACAUGUAAAUGUCAGGGUUAAUACAUCAGACAUGUUUAUCAUACAUCCUAACGGAACCUUCAUAUAAACAGGAUUUUGUUGUCUUUGACCAAAAUGGCGAAUAACAUACAAGACAAAGAAUAUGUGUGUAAUAUAUUGUGUGGUUUUUAAAACACCAGUGCAUAAUACUAAUUGACCUUAAUGUUCAGAAGGAUUGAGGUUUGACAGGAGUUCAAAAUAUAUAAAACAUGUUAAAAUUGAGUUUUUCCAAGAUUAUACACAUAAUUACCAAGACUUGGAAAAAAAGCAUUUUGGUUGAGAUGCACGAUUCAAUCAGCAUUUAUCCAUUUUCCAUUGUGCUAAACACAAAAAAAAAAAAAACUUGUGAAACUUGUGGGAUGGACAGAA